rnacentral:siRNA from 1 species
GGAUGACCAAUCCGGUUAAGCCA